rnacentral:rRNA from 1 species
AUUGAACGCUGGCGGAAUGCUUUACACAUGCAAGUCGAACGGUAGAGGGGGCAACCCCUCGAGAGUGGCGAACGGGUGAGUAAUAUAUCGGAACGUGCCCAGUCGUGGGGGAUAACGUAGCGAAAGUUACGCUAAUACCGCAUACGAUCUAAGGAUGAAAGCGGGGGAUCGCAAGACCUCGCGCGAUUGGAGCGGCCGAUAUCAGAUUAGGUAGUUGGGGGGGUAAAGGCUCACCAAGCCAACGAUCUGUAGCUGGUCUGAGAGGACGACCAGGCACACUGGAACUGAGACACGGUCCAGACUCCUACGGGAGGCAGCAGUGGGUAAUUUUGGACAAUGGACGCAAGUCUGAUCCAGCCAUUCCGCGUGCAGGAUGAAGGCCCUCGGGUUGUAAACUGCUUUUGUACGGAACGAAAAGGUCUCUCUUAAUACGGGGGGCUCAUGACGGUACCGUAAGAAUAAGCACCGGCUAACUACGUGCCAGCAGCCGCAGUAA